AGAGUUUGAUCCUGGCUCAGAACGAACGCUGGCGGCGUGUUUAAGACAUGCAAGUCGCACGGGAUUGAAUGAGUAGUAAUACGAGUUCAGUCUAGUGGCGCACGGGUGAGUAACAUGUGAAUUACAUGCCCUAUAGUGGGGAAUAGCCCAGGGAAACUUGGAUUAAUACCCCAUGGUCUCGCAAGAGUAAAGGUGGCCGCAAGGCUGUCGCUAUAGGAUUGGUUCGCGCCCUAUCAGCUUGUUGGCGGGGUAACGGCCCACCAAGGCUACGACGGGUACUUGGUCUGAGAGGACGAUCAGGCACACUGGAACUGAGACACGAUCCAGACACCUACGGGUGGCAGCAGUCGAGAAUAAUUCACAAUGGGGGCAACCCUGAUGGUGCAACGCCGCGUGGAGGAUGACGGUCUUCGGAUUGUAAACUCCUGUCAUCCGGGAGUAAGACCUGGCUGUGAAUAGCAGACAGGGUUGAUAGUACCGGAAGAGGAAGGGACGGCUAACUUCGUGCCAGCAGCCGCGGUAAUACGAAGGUCCCGAGCGUUGUUCGGAAUCACUGGGCGUAAAGGGAGCGUAGGCGGCGUGGUAAGUCAGAUGUGAAAUCCCGGGGCUCAACCCCGGAACUGCAUCCGAUACUGUCGUGCUAGAGGAUUGGAGAGGUAGCUGGAAUUCUUGGUGUAGCAGUGAAAUGCGUGGAUAUCAAGAGGAACACUCGUGGCGAAAGCGAGCUACUGGACAACUCCUGACGCUGAGGCUCGAAGGCCAGGGUAGCGAAAGGGAUUAGAUACCCCUGUAGUCCUGGC
rnacentral:rRNA from 1 species